CCCUUAGAUGUUCUGGGCGGCCCGCGCACUACAAUGGCGUGUGCAGCGAGUGCCGAAGUAGAGUUUUCCGAGGUAUUCUUGCAAUGCUCGUUUUGAUGGGGAUAGACCCUUGCAACUGUUGGUUUUGAACGAGGAAUUCCUUGUAAGCAUGGUUUAUCAUCCGACGCUGACUGCGUCCCUGCCCUUUGUACACACCGCCCGUCGCUCCUACCGAUGAGUCGUCCGGUGAAGUUCGUAGACCUCGUGAUCGCGGAUCACUGGGGGAAGCAAAAUGAACCUCGCGGUUUAGAGGAAGGAGAAGUCGUAACA
rnacentral:rRNA from 1 species